rnacentral:rRNA from 1 species
UACGGGAGGCAGCAGUGGGGAAUAUUGCACAAUGGGGGAAACCCUGAUGCAGCGACGCCGCGUGANNGANGAAGUAUUUCGGUAUGUAAACNUCUAUCAGCAGGGAAGAAAAUGACGGUACCUGACUAAGAAGCNCCGGCUAANUACGUGCCAGCAGCCGCGGUAAUACGUANGGGGCAAGCGUUAUCCGGAUUUACUGGGUGUAAAGGGAGCGNAGNCGGNNGGGCAAGUCUGANGUGAAAGCCCNGGGCUCAACCCCNGGACUGCNUUGGAAACUGUNCAUCUAGAGUGUCGGAGAGGUAAGNGGAAUUCCUAGUGUAGCGGUGAAAUGCGUAGAUAUUAGGAGGAACACCAGUGGCGAAGGCGGCUUACUGGACGAUAACUGACGUUGAGGCUCGAAAGCGUGGGGAGCAAACAGGAUUAGAUACCCUGGUAGUCCACGCCGUAAACGAUGANUACUAGGUGUCGGGUAGCAAAGCUGUUCNGUG